AUUAGUACGAAGUAGGAUUCGUCAAUAACAAAUAUAGGAAAAUUGUAAGGGUAGCAGAACACUGUCAUUUGAGCAUUCCCGAAGCAAAAGCUGGCAAGACUCGUAAAUUGUAUCACAGGCUUCUUAACCGUUCUCUAAUGGUUUUCUCAGUAAAUUAUCAACGCUUGGAAAAAUGGGAUAACUCAUAAGAGUUGAUGGCUUCGAGGCAUCUCCACCAAUUAAUACUAUUAGGAGUGAAUAGUUGUAAGCGGUUUCCCUUCCUGAAAGUUAAAAAGUUUGGCUCGGUUUCAAGUGGUGGCGGUGGUGUACCCGUGGGUAUGAUGAACCCAUCCUGUACCUCUAGCCGCACCCAAAUCCACCUCUCUAAUAUGUUAAUGUGACCUUUUUGACCCGUUUGGAACAACACAAAACCACACGCUGCUCAUUCAUUGGAAAUUGUGGCUUAAUUAUGACCGUUGUUGUAAAAAAACGUGUACAUGGAAUUGAAAGUAUAUGAAGAGUUGGAUGCUGAAAUUGAAAAGCUCAGAUUAGAGUGUCGUGCGAAAGCUCAUCUAUGUGACAACUUAAAGAGAUCACAUGCAGACCAAGUCAAAAGAAUCCAAGAACUAAAUCAGAAACUCGAGGUAUUUUCGCUUUUUAUCUCUAAAGUGAAAAUUACAAAAGAACUCUUAGAAGUUGGCAUAUUUAGCAAUUUUCGCCUCUGGUGCUAUGGCGUAAUUUGUUGUUAACAAUCUUGCGGGUUUCACGUGAGCGGAAGAAAGUCUUUCAACAUUUUUUGCAAGUUUUAAUUGCAGUUUCGUCCCUCAAGUUUUCACUUUUCAUUUUCAAAUAAAAUAUUAAUCCUUUUAUGCCUUUUUUAACACU